CCUCAACGACCAGACUCGAUGGAUCUUGCAAAAUACUAGUAGCUGAGCAGAGGAAUUCACCCGGAAACCAAGAAGCGUCAAUGUUUAGCUUCAUCUCGUCUCUCUCUGGCGGCGUCCAUCUAAUCAAUCUACAAGAUCAAUUGGUUUUGGAGGCUUUGCUCAGAAAAUAAAAUUGUUGUGGGUCUUCCAAAUAUUCCAUAGCACAGCAACAACUAGUUCUUUUUCGGGAUGCAACACAAGGAGGAGAGGGCUGUGGUCCGAGCCAAUUGCUGGUAGAGCCUGUACUUCAGCAUUAGGAAAGGUAUGAGGUUUACAGCUGGUUGUUAUCUUCACGCAAAGGCACCUAGGAGCAGGGGAUUGGACCAAACUGUGAAGGCGGGCAAGAUUGCUGAGUGGUUUAUUCAAAGUUUUGAAGAACAAAUUGAAGGGAGCUUUAUGAUAGAAGUGGCAGGGUCGCAAGGUUGCUUUGAUAGAUUGGUGGGCUAGACUAUGGUGAGGUUGAAAGUUUAUAGGUUGUGAAGGGAAGGGAUGGGUCGGUUAUGGAGUUAGGGUUUUUCAUUUGGGAUUGUAAUCAUCGGAAAGGCUUGGGUUGUGAGGGGGAGACAUCUUACUGAACCUGGAGAGUGGAGAAAUCCUUGUGGGGAAGAUGCCAUAUGAGGAUUACGGAGGUUUUAGGGUUUUGUUUACUCUAUCACCCAUUGAAGGGAUAGAAGAAAUCUCUUCCCAAAGAAGAGAGGAAAAGCUCUACCAGCAAGAGAGUGAAGACGAGCGUUGUUGAAUGGCAUUCCCAGUGAACUAUUGAAUUCUUGUUAAUUUAUGAUUAUAAUUCACUUCCUCACA